GUUUGAUCCUGGCUCAGGACGAACGCUGGCGGCGUGCCUAAUACAUGCAAGUCGAGCGGAUCUUUGAGAGCUUGCUCUCAAAGAUUAGCGGCGGACGGGUGAGUAACACGUGGGUAACCUGCCUGUAAGAUUGGGAUAACUCCGGGAAACCGGAGCUAAUACCGGAUAACAUUUUGAACCGCAUGGUUCGAAAUUGAAAGGUGGCUUUUGCUACCACUUACAGAUGGACCCGCGGCGCAUUAGCUAGUUGGUGAGGUAAUGGCUCACCAAGGCAACGAUGCGUAGCCGACCUGAGAGGGUGAUCGGCCACACUGGGACUGAGACACGGCCCAGACUCCUACGGGAGGCAGCAGUAGGGAAUCUUCCGCAAUGGACGAAAGUCUGACGGAGCAACGCCGCGUGAGUGAUGAAGGCCUUCGGGUCGUAAAGCUCUGUUGUUAGGGAAGAACAAGUACCGUUCAAAUAGGGCGGUACCAUGACGGUACCUAACCAGAAAGCCACGGCUAACUACGUGCCAGCAGCCGCGGUAAUACGUAGGUGGCAAGCGUUGUCCGGAAUUAUUGGGCGUAAAGGGCUCGCAGGCGGUUCCUUAAGUCUGAUGUGAAAGCCCACGGCUCAACCGUGGAGGGUCAUUGGAAACUGGGGAACUUGAGUACAGAAGAGGAGAGUGGAAUUCCACGUGUAGCGGUGAAAUGCGUAGAGAUGUGGAGGAACACCAGUGGCGAACGCGACUCUCUGGUCUGUAACUGACGCUGAGGAGCGAAAGCGUGGGGAGCGAACAGGAUUAGAUACCCUGGUAGUCCACGCCGUAAACGAUGAGUGCUAAGUGUUAGAGGGUUUCCGCCCUUUAGUGCUGCAGCAAACGCAUUAAGCACUCCGCCUGGGGGAGUACGGUCGCAG
rnacentral:rRNA from 1 species